UACGUAGGGGGCUAGCGUUGUCCGGAAUCAUUGGGCGUAAAGAGCGUGUAGGCGGUCCGGUAAGUCCGUUGUGAAAGUCAAGGGCUCAACCCUUGAAUGCCGGCGGAUACUGUCGGGCUAGAGUCCGGAAGAGGCAAGUGGAAUUCCCGGUGUAGCGGUGAAAUGCGCAGAUAUCGGGAGGAACACCUAUGGCGAAGGCAGCUUGCUGGGACGGUACUGACGCUGGAGACGCGAAAGCGUGGGGAGCAAACAGG
rnacentral:rRNA from 1 species